GCUCACACUCCGAGACGCUGAGGGGUAUAGUCGCCAUGGUGUAGACGCCUCGCCCCUGUCCUUCGCCAACUUCCUUCUUCCUUUUAUGGUAAAGGCAGGAUCAUAGUUCCCUUCCGUGGGUUCCAAUGUCAAAAACAUUGUUGCUUCUCCAGUAUUCAUUUCCCAGGCUCUCUGCAACCAUUGGUCACAUUUAUUUUAAUAUCAGGUGGUCUAAAGCUGUGCGAAGAGCCAUGGAGAUUGCGUCUGCCAUUCACCUAUUAUGACGAUAGGCAAUUUGCAAUGGGUCCAGGUCCUUGCUGGGGCAGGAGUUCAGUCUAGUCAUAACCAGCCUCUCAAAGCAUUUCAUCACUGUCGAUGUCAUUUCCCAGAUAUGUGAGGGAAGAAAGCUAUCCUCAGAGCCUUCACCUUGAACAUUUCCUACCAUCAAUUUCGACAUUUUGCCCUCACGGAUCCCCACCAACCAGGUCAUGUUCUGUUUUCGCUGCUGCCAUCAGGAAGAAGGUACAGGAGCCCCAAGACUCAUACCAUCAGGUUCCUGAACCAGAGGGGACAACGUGUCUUGCCCAAUUACUGAACUGUUCCCACAACCUAUGGACUCGCUCUCAAGGACUCUUCAUCUCAUGUUCUUGAUACUUAUUGCUCGUUUAUUAUUAUUAUUUCUUUCUUUUGAAUUUGCACACUGGU